AAAGUCCUUCAGGAGCAAUUGAAACAGGCUUUACAGCAAGCUGAAAAGGCUCAGCAUCAACUUAACUAUUUCCUACAUCAAGAGAAGUUAGUUAAAAGUGAGGGGAAGACCGAGACAGCAAUGGAAGUGGUUAAUAGUCAAACAAAAGUGAAAGGUCACGAUUCAACAAAUAUACCAUUGGAGAAAGGAACAAGAAAAUCACUGGUUUCAGAUUCAGGUGGACAAAGGACAAAUGAUACAAUCCAAGGAUAUCCACAGAUCUCUGCCCAAAGUGGGAGACCAAUUGAGAAAAGAUCCU
rnacentral:lncRNA from 1 species